UAGGGAAUCUUCGGCAAUGGGGGCAACCCUGACCGAGCAACGCCGCGUGAGUGAAGAAGGUUUUCGGAUCGUAAAGCUCUGUUGUAAGAGAAGAACGUGUGUGAGAGUGGGAAGUUCACACAGUGACGGUAACUUACCAGAAAGGGACGGCUAACUACGUGCCAG
rnacentral:rRNA from 1 species